AUUGAACGCUGGCGGCAUGCCUUACACAUGCAAGUCGAACGGCAGCGGACCUUCGGGUGCCGGCGAGUGGCGAACGGGUGAGUAAUGUAUCGGAACGUACCUUUCAGUGGGGGAUAACGUAGCGAAAGUUACGCUAAUACCGCAUAUUCUGUGAGCAGGAAAGCAGGGGAUCGAAAGACCUUGCGCUGAUUGAGCGGCCGAUAGCAGAUUAGCUAGUUGGUGAGGUAAAGGCUCACCAAGGCGACGAUCUGUAGCGGGUCUGAGAAGAUGAUCCGCCACACUGGAACUGAGACACGGUCCAGACUCCUACGGGAGGCAGCAGUGGGGAAUUUUGGACAAUGGGGGCAACCCUGAUCCAGCCAUGCCGCGUGAGUGAAGAAGGCCUUCGGGUUGUAAAGCUCUUUCGUCCGGGAAGAAAUCGCAUCAGCUAAUACCUGGUGUGGGUGACGGUACCGGAAUAAGAAGCACCGGCUAACUACGUGCCAGCCGCCGCAGUAAGAC
rnacentral:rRNA from 1 species